UGAGGAAUUUUGCGCAAUGGGGGAAACCCUGACGCAGCGACGCCGCGUGGAGGAUGAAGGCCUUCGGGUCGUAAACUCCUGUCAGAGGUGAAGAACGCCCGCAAGGGCUUGACGGUAACCUCAGAGGAAGCCCCGGCUAACUACGUGCCAGCAGCCGCGGUAAUACGUAGGGGGCAAACGUUGCUCGGAAUUACUGGGCGUAAAGGGUGAGUAGGCGGCUUGGCAAGUCAUGGAUGAAAUCCCGCAGCUCAACUGCGGAACGGUCCUUGAAACUGCCAGGCUUGAGGAUAGUUGAAGAGAAUGGAAUUCCCGGUGGAGCGGUGAAAUGCGUAGAUAUCGGGAGGAACACCAGAGGCGUAGGCGAUUCUCUAAGCUACUCCUGACGCUGAAUCACGAAAGCUAGGGGAGCAAACGGG
rnacentral:rRNA from 1 species